GACGAACGCUGGCGGCGUGCCUAAUACAUGCAAGUCGAGCGGACAGAAGGGAGCUUGCUCCCGGAUGUUAGCGGCGGACGGGUGAGUAACACGUGGGUAACCUGCCUGUAAGACUGGGAUAACCCCGGGAAACCGGAGCUAAUACCGGAUAGUUCCUUGAACCGCAUGGUUCAAGGAUGAAAGACGGUUUCGGCUGUCACUUACAGAUGGACCCGCGGCGCAUUAGCUAGUUGGUGAGGCAACGGCUCACCAAGGCGACGAUGCGUAGCCGACCGGAGAGGGUGAUCGGCCACACUGGGACUGAGACACGGCCCAGACUCCUACGGGAGGCAGCAGUAGGGAAUCUUCCGCAAUGGACGAAAGUCUGACGGAGCAACGCCGCGUGAGUGAUGAAGGUUUUCGGAUCGUAAAGCUCUGUUGUUAGGGAAGAACAAGUGCAAGAGUAACUGCUUGCACCUUGACGGUACCUAACCAGAAAGCCACGGCUAACUACGUGCCAGCAGCCGCGGUAAGAC
rnacentral:rRNA from 1 species